UUUUAUAUAGUUUAAAUUAAAACAUUAUAUUUUCAUUAUAAAAAUAAUAAAAAUUAUUUAUAAAAU
rnacentral:tRNA from 1 species